CCUUUAGUCUCGAGAGUACAUUACCCUGUAACAUCCCACUGCUGGACUUCUGCCUCUUUUUCAAUGUAGGAAAAGAAAAAACUCAAAGCUUGCUCCAUCACGCUGCUUCCUGCAGAUUGACGGACAGAUACGUGAACAUCUCCAAAAUAUCAAAUGUACAAACAAUUACAUCAUAAUAAUUAUCAAUAAUUAUGUUCGAAGCUGUCGAGGCUAAAGUGAUACAUCUUAAGACAACGCAUCGCUGUG
rnacentral:misc_RNA from 1 species